CUGCCCUUGCCUUUGAUGAGUGUGGAUCCCCCAUCUGGGGUGGUUAUCAAGGGGGUCCCAUUAGUCAUCACCUGCAAGGCCCCCGGAGAUGCCAGCGAGUGGAGAUUUCAUUUCUACAAGGACGGAGCCGAGAUUAUCCCCGGGGACAUGGGGUCUGAGAUCAGCACAAGGGAGGCCAGCACUGACUCUAUGAUGCUCACUUUCCCACGGGCUGGUCCUGCGACCACAGGGGAAUUCACUUGCGGCUAUGAGGAGAACGUGAGCGGGUGGUGGAUCCCGGCCCCCAGGAGUCAGGCUGUGAACGUCACCAUGAAGGCUAUCUCGUCUCUGCCCAUCCCCCUGGUGGCUGGGUGCGCUGGUGCUGCCGUGGGUCUAGUUCUGCUGCUGGUUCUCAUCUAUCUCUACAACAGGAAGAAGAAAGGUUCCAAGUGGGAGCGGAGGAGGAGAGCCCAGAGCGAUGAUUUUAUCAGCAGUUACUCACCUAUGCCUCUAUCAAUGAUCAACCCAGACACUCUUUAACAGCCCCCUCGGCUCCUUGCCUCCAUGUCCCCUGCAACAUCAUAGGACCAAUGAAGAUCUGUGAAGCUUACCACACUCACCGUGCAUAUCCUCCCAAGGUCUCCUUCACGCUGGUGGGCACACACCAGGCCUCCAGCCGAAAACAUCCCUGGCAAAACGGAGAUGUGAUUGUGUCUCUUUGCCUGCUGCAGAGAUACUGGGACUGUUUGAAAGGAAGGAAGAAGUUUCUAUUCUCCUAACUUCUCAGCAAAUCUCCACUUUACCAGGAACAUUCAAGCUGAUGUAAAUUUCUGUAAAUUUCCUGUCUCCUGUUUGUCAUUAAACCCCCCCUUUAACCUCCU
rnacentral:lncRNA from 1 species